UCUCCUUUUGAGAAAUCAUUAACUUCUUAUAGUCGUAAAGCAAGGUUUAUUAGGCACAAAAUCUCUGCACGUAGUUUAUUACAUUUAGAUAGUCUAAUAAUAGAUGAUCAUUAUUAUUGUUUUAUCAUGUACUACAAAGUCGUUGUCUUCAAGUGUUCCAGCUUCAAACUGAGACUUUGGGUGGGUAAGAGAUGAGGAUGGAUUAUGUAUGAGAGAAGAUUCUUCUGUAUUGCAUUGUCCAAUAAUUAUGUCUGCACAUAUAUAUUUACUUAAUUUGACUUUCAAGGGGUGGGCGACUGUAUAAUGAAGCAUAAACAUACAAUAUAUACGACAUAACAUAAAUGGAUUGCGUGAGGGAGCUGUUCUUGGCCACUUAGAAAAAUUAUGUCAAGGUGAAUUUCUAGAAGUUGUGAGGUCAUGUGCCCCAUCAACUUAUUAUAGUAAGCAUCAUUAGUAGAUCUUCUUGGUAGUGGAAGUUGAAUUGUUCAAAUGGCAGACAAGAUAAUGUUCAAGGCCAAAUAUUCUUCAAAUUAAUCCUCGUUUUUGGUGGACUUGGUUUUGUCUUUUUGUUGCUUCUCUCUCUCUCUCCACUCGCAAAUGUGCAUCACCUUUCAUCUUCCCUUUGCCCAUCUUAGCUAUUCACUACAUGGCAUAUAGAAUUUGCACAAUUUUUAAUUCAAGAAGCAGUAAGACUGCGUACAUCUGAUCCUUCAAGAUCCUGCAGUGUGCAGAACCUUCCAUACGGUGUCUGAAAUGGGAGGGGAUAAAGUGAUGAAAUUGUUCUGGGCAUCUCAGUUAUAGUUUUCCACCAUGUGGGGAUAAAACUAUGCUGGUGUACCAUUAUUUCUGGACCCCAUAGUGGGGUGGGAGUCUUGUGCAUUCCAUUAGCUCAUUAAAACAAGAAAAAUAUGGUUGUCUUUUACAUAUGGCACUUGGAUAUACACUACUGCAUUUUCAUCAGGAUCACAAUCAGAUGGCAGGAGAAGACUUGAGUCUGACAGCUGUUAUGCAUUGACUAUCAAAGGAGUUUGGUCAGAGUUGGAGAAUCACAUGGACAGGAGCCACCACAUGAUUCUCACAUUAAAUAUGUUAUCUUCUUGAAUCUCU